UACGUAGGGUGCAAGCGUUGUCCGGAAUUUAUUGGGCGUAAAGAGCUCGUAGGCGGUCUGUCACGUCGGCUGUGAAAUCCCGAGGCUCAACCUCGGGUCUGCAGUCGAUACGGGCAAACUAGAGUAUUGCAGGGGAGACUGGAAUUCCUGGUGUAGCGGUGAAAUGCGCAGAUAUCAGGAGGAACACCGGUGGCGGAAGGCGGGUCUCUGGGCAAUAACUGACGCUGAGGAGCGAAAGCGUGGGGAGCGAACAGG
rnacentral:rRNA from 1 species